UACGGAGGGGGUUGAGCGUUGUUCGGAAUGACUGGGCGUAAAGCGCGCGUAGGCGGAUCAGGAAGUUGGGGGUGAAAUCCCGGGGGCUCAACCCCGGAAUGGCCUUCAAGACUCCUGGUCUUGAGUUCGAGAGAGGUGAGUGGAAUUCCGAGUGUAGAGGUGAAAUUCGUAGAUAUUCGGAGGAACACCAGUGGCGAAGGCGGCUCACUGGCUCGACACUGACGCUGAGGUGCGAAAGCGUGGGGAGCAAACAGG
rnacentral:rRNA from 1 species